rnacentral:rRNA from 1 species
GACGAACGCUGGCGGCGUGCUUAACACAUGCAAGUCGAACGCUGAAGCUCAGCUUUUGUUGGGUGGAUGAGUGGCGAACGGGUGAGUAACACGUGAGUAACCUGCCCCCUUCUUUGGGAUAACGCCCGGAAACGGGUGCUAAUACUGGAUAUUCACUGGUCUUCGCAUGGGGGUUGGUGGAAAGGGUUUUUCUGGUGGGGGAUGGGCUCGCGGCCUAUCAGCUUGUUGGUGGGGUGAUGGCCUACCAAGGCUUUGACGGGUAGCCGGCCUGAGAGGGUGACCGGUCACAUUGGGACUGAGAUACGGCCCAGACUCCUACGGGAGGCAGCAGUGGGGAAUAUUGCACAAUGGGCGCAAGCCUGAUGCAGCGACGCCGCGUGAGGGACGGAGGCCUUCGGGUUGUGAACCUCUUUCGCUCAUGGUCAAGCCGCAACAAUGGUUGUGGUGAGGGUAGUGGGUAAAGAAGCGCCGGCUAACUACGUGCCAGCAGCCGCGGUAAUACGUAGGGCGCGAGCGUUGUCCGGAAUUAUUGGGCGUAAAGGGCUUGUAGGCGGUUGGUCGCGUCUGCCGUGAAAUCCUCUGGCUUAACUGGGGGCGUGCGGUGGGUACGGGCUGACUUGAGUGCGGUAGGGGAGACUGGAACUCCUGGUGUAGCGGUGGAAUGCGCAGAUAUCAGGAAGAACACCGGUGGCGAAGGCGGGUCUCUGGGCCGUUACUGACGCUGAGGAGCGAAAGCGUGGGGAGCGAACAGG